GUGCUUGCUUUAGCAACUCAUAUACUAAAAUUGGAAUGAUACAGAGAAGAUUAGCAUGGCCCCUCCACAAAGAGGACACACAUAUUUAUGAAGCAUUCCAUUUUUUU
rnacentral:snRNA from 1 species